rnacentral:rRNA from 1 species
GACGAACGCUGGCGGCGUGCUUAACACAUGCAAGUCGAACGGAAAGGCCCUGCUUUUGUGGGGUGCUCGAGUUGCGAACGGGUGAGUAACACGUUAGUAACCUGCCCUUUACUUUGGGAUAACUUCAGGAAACUUGGGCUAAUACCGGAUAGGAGCUCCUGCUGCAUGGUGGGGGUUGGAAAGUUUCGGCGGUUGGGGAUGGACUCGCGGCUUAUCAGCUUGUUGGUGGGGUAGUGGCUUACCAAGGCUUUGACGGGUAGCCGGCCUGAGAGGGUGACCGGACAAAUUGGGACUGAGAUACGGCCCAGACUCGUACGGGAGGCAGCAGUGGGGAAUAUUGAACAAUGGGCGGAAGCCUGAUGCAGCAACGCCGCGUGCGGGAUGACGGCCUUCGGGUUGUAAACCGCUUUCGCCUGUGACGAAGCGUGAGUGACGGUAAUGGGUAAAGAAGCACCGGCUAACUACGUG